CGAGUGACUGUGAGGGAUCUGUAGUGUCCCGAGAGCUGAGGCUGCAGUGUGGCUGAGCUGUGUCCUUGAACUAUUGCCUUUAAUUCCAGGGAAGACCUCGUGUUGAUGCGCCCUCCUCCAGGCUGAGCUCCUGUCAUGGCCCCACUCCUCCCCGACCCUCCAAGCCCCUGUUCUGCCCUUUGGCCUCACCCUGGCCUUACAUCGCUGAAGGCACUGUGUUCGGCUACAAGUCUGCCAGUCGGAGGCUCCUAGGGCCUCCUGGGGCUGGGCCUCGUCCAUUGUGGGGUAGGCUCCAGAGGAACAUGGGCGGAGGCAGCGUUUGAUGAGUCACCACCUGCCAAGACUGACUUUUUCUU
rnacentral:lncRNA from 10 species